GACGAACCGUACGAACGUUAUUCGGAAUUACUGGGCUUAAAGGGUGCGUAGGCGGCGCAGUAAGUUGGGUGUGAAAUCCCUCGGCUUAACCGAGGAAUUGCGCCCAAAACUACUGUGCUCGAGGGAGAUAGAGGUGAGCGGAACUUAGGAUGGAGCGGUGAAAUGCGUUGAUAUCCUAAGGAACACCGGUGGCGAAAGCGGCUCACUGGAUCUCUUCUGACGCUGAGGCACGAAAGCCAGGGGAGCAAACGGG
rnacentral:rRNA from 1 species